rnacentral:rRNA from 1 species
AGUGAACGCUGGCGGUAGGCCUAACACAUGCAAGUCGAACGGCAGCACAGUAAGAGCUUGCUCUUACGGGUGGCGAGUGGCGGACGGGUGAGGAAUACAUCGGAAUCUACUUUUUCGUGGGGGAUAACGUAGGGAAACUUACGCUAAUACCGCAUACGACCUACGGGUGAAAGCAGGGGAUCUUCGGACCUUGCGCGAUUGAAUGAGCCGAUGUCGGAUUAGCUAGUUGGCGGGGUAAAGGCCCACCAAGGCGACGAUCCGUAGCUGGUCUGAGAGGAUGAUCAGCCACACUGGAACUGAGACACGGUCCAAACUACUACGGGAGGCAGCAGUGGGGAAUAUUGGACAAUGGGCGCAAGCCUGAUCCAGCCAUACCGCGUGGGUGAAGAAGGCCUUCGGGUUGUAAAGCCCUUUUGUUGGGAAAGAAAAGCAGCAGGUUAAUACCCCGCUGUUCUGACGGUACCCAAAGAAUAAGCACCGGCUAACUUCGUG